rnacentral:rRNA from 1 species
GAUGAACGCUGGCGGCGUGCCUAAUACAUGCAAGUAGAACGCUGAAGCUUGGUGCUUGCACCGAGCGGAUGAGUUGCGAACGGGUGAGUAACGCGUAGGUAACCUGCCUCUUAGCGGGGGAUAACUAUUGGAAACGAUAGCUAAUACCGCAUAAAAGUCGACAUCGCAUGAUGUUGACUUGAAAGGUGCAAAUGCAUCACUAAGAGAUGGACCUGCGUUGUAUUAGCUAGUUGGUGAGGUAACGGCUCACCAAGGCGACGAUACAUAGCCGACCUGAGAGGGUGAUCGGCCACACUGGGACUGAGACACGGCCCAGACUCCUACGGGAGGCAGCAGUAGGGAAUCUUCGGCAAUGGGGGCAACCCUGACCGAGCAACGCCGCGUGAGUGAAGAAGGUUUUCGGAUCGUAAAGCUCUGUUGUAAGAGAAGAACGAGUGUGAGAGUGGAAAGUUCACACUGUGACGGUAACUUACCAGAAAGGGACGGCUAACUACGUGCCAGCAGCCGCGGUAAUACGUAGGUCCCGAGCGUUAUCCGGAUUUAUUGGGCGUAAAGCGAGCGCAGGCGGUUAGAUAAGUCUGAAGUUAAAGGCUGUGGCUUAACCAUAGUACGCUUUGGAAACUGUUUAACUUGAGUGCAGAAGGGGAGAGUGGAAUUCCAUGUGUAGCGGUGAAAUGCGUAGAUAUAUGGAGGAACACCGGUGGCGAAAGCGGCUCUCUGGUCUGUAACUGACGCUGAGGCUCGAAAGCGUGGGGAGCAAACAGG